CACUUUGAAAAGCACUUAAAAAUGUAAAUGAGAUAAUAAGCUCUACUGCAACAAUGUGGGUGAAUUACAGCUGUAUAAAAAGCACAUUCAUUGGAUUUAUUUAUAAAAAUGGAAAGGCUCCUAAAAUAAAAUUGUAUCGUAAAUGUUUUGGUCACAUCUGACACCGAGAGACAUGAGGCUGAUGGUGGAGAAGCGCGAUGGCUCGGAGCCCGCGCGGCCGAGCUCGUGGACCGCGGCGAGCCCCCGGCAGCCCCGGGGCCGGCUGACGCACCAGCACUGUGCGACGUGGAGGGAGAGGAACAGCCGAACCACAUUUCCAGAUAACAUCUUUUUAAUGAAAGCUACGAUGCUGCACUCCUGAAACAGUGAAUCUCCAGAAGCUAGAUGAAUCUGGACUAGGACUGCUGCCCAUUUGCAGGAACCAAACAUGAAAGGGCAAGGGAAGGGGAUUAUGCAAAUAAAAAAAGAAGGGCAUGCAGCCAAGCAUGCAAUCCUGCCGGAGGACGACGCAAGCAGCCCCGGAGCCACAGGCUCCCCCGAGACUGGAUCGCCGGGCACCGAGUCCAAGAGACCACGCACCCUCUCUAUGGGGAAAUGUGCCAGCACGGCAUACUAAAAUACAGCAAUAUCAGUGUAACCUCCACGUGGGAACAGUAUUCCAGAAGAAAAGGAAAUAGAGUAGCCCACGCAAGGACUUACUCUGCUAGAGUUAUACUUGAGUAUGUAUUUCGUUAUCGUUGUAUUGGGAAAUUUCACUGUGUUGAUAAGCCCUCAGUCUAACCUUUGCGUAGAGGAAAUUACUUUCUUGCUCCAAGAUACGGCAGCAUCUAAGAAAUAUAUGAUGUUUGGGGAUAUUCAACGUCCACGUUGGUCUACACAACUUUACAAUCAGAAGUUGUUCUCCCUUGUUCUGUUCUGGCUUAAAAAAUACACUUUGGAUUCCCCCCUAACAUUUUGAAACAAAGAAAAAUGACUGUUUCAAAAUUUUUCUCACCAAGGGAAGCAUUACUGUAUGACAUUCUUUCCUAGAAAUCUUCCAAGUCCCAUUUAUUAACAGAAUUAGUCUGGCCUUAAUCUGGCUGACUCACAAAGUGUUGAAGAAUGUCAUCUUCAAAUCAUGUCUUGUUAAUGAAAUUUUGGUGUUAAUGAGGGGGAUGUAACAGAAGCCUAGAAUCUGUAAUAUGAAACAAAACAACAAAGGGGGUUCCUCUUGCAAAAAAUGCAUUAUUUUCUCCCUCUUCUGUUGUGUGUUUGUCACUGUGGGCUCUCCAUCAUCCACUUCUUUUCAGAGUCUACUUUUUGAUGUGGAGUCCCCACUUGAGCAUCAACUUCUACAUUAAAAUGCUCUGAAAAUAUUUCGCGGUUUCACAGCACUUUCAAUCCAAGGAGCCCAAAGGAUUUCAUAAAAGAUUGAGGCUGGGAUUUCAUAAAUGGCCUUAAGAUAUUUCUACAAUGCAGCAACUUUAUUCUAGUGCUGAGUCCAGCCAUGCAAAUCCAGACUCAGUAACCACUGCCCAAAAGCAUCAGAAAAGCUAGGUAAAUACUCUGUUCAGGUUUUUGUGGCUAGAUCAUUAUCAGGAUGCGAGACAGCUAGUUUAAAUUUAGCUAGUUAAAUUUAGCCUAGUUUACAUGACACUUCAAUCGCUAACGUAGCUUCUGCAUAGACAUUCUCAAGUGUCCAGCACCCAACACCCUUCCAAAAGAUGCCUUCUGAAAUCUCGGUCUAAAGCAUCUCAAAAGGGUUAACAGAUACAGUGAUUUAAGCAGCUUUUCCAAGCAUCUGUAGGACAUUAAUAUAAUUUUGCUCUCAGCUUCUAAUCCUACGGUCUAAACCAAUGGGUCCUAAUCUUUGAUGCAUAAGCACGUUACAGGAGAGGCACGGCACAGAGACCAGGUGAGCGUUGCUGGAUUUGCCCCACGCAGUGUCCUUGUACCACACUCCAAAAAGUGGAAGUCUGGGUAAAUUCAAAGCAAAGAUAUCUACACAGUACCGAAGAGCGAGCUGUGCUGACGGGAUGGCUCCCAACGCCAGCACAGUUCAAAGAGUCAAACUUCACAGCAGCAAAAAGGCAGUGACAGUAGUCACGCAGUUGUUCAACACCUUGUCAGGCUCCUUCUACUUAGAUAUUUGGUAUUAGACACUGUAAUAUGAUGGAAUCAAAACGGUUACCUUGUAAGUCACAAGAAAGGAAUUUGACGAUCAAAAGUUUUAUCUUGAUUCCAUGACUCUGACUGCACAAGCCUCAAUUGGCCUUAGGCCAGACAACUCUCAGUGGAAUGCACAGUGCCAAGUACUUCAGGCAUUCCUCUCAAACUGACCCAAACUCAGGCCAUCUGGAACCAAAAAGGGUUGCUUGGAUUGUUUUUCUGGUUGUCAUAAGAAACAAAACAUUCUUAAAAGUUGCAUUUAUUUAUUUUUCACUAAUGCUUGAGAUAUGAUUAAAAAAAGUCAAGAUUAUGGGGAUAGAUACAAUUAUGAAAUAAUAACAACUUAGACGUUUUUAACUAUAAAAGAGAGCCAGGAAUUUGAAUUAAUAUCAAAAUCAUGCAUUAUGGCAUCCACAUCUGCAUAUCACUUUAUUGACUAAACAUAAAACUUCUCUGAGAGCCAGUUGGCUUCUGUAAAAAUGUAUUUUGCCUUUGAAAGGAAAUAGUAAUUGGAAGGUCUCUUACAGGAAGUCACCCAAUGCAAUACAAAGGAAAUUGCAAUCUGAUCCUCAAUGUUAGUUUAAAUCAAUGUUAUAUUUAGCAAUUUUUGACAACAGUCUUUCCAAAGGCUUAUAUUAUAUUAAGCCUUCUCAAAAGCUUAUAUUAAGAAUUGCUUUGUCUUUAGGAUGUUUCUUUAAUCACCUCCCAAGGUCUUCACCUUACCCUGCGUUAGAUGUUGUUACCCAUCUCCAGGACAUCCAGGAUUCCAUUUUCACCAAGAACAAACUUUUUUCCCCAGGCUAAUAAAGAGCAAAGCAUUUAUGCA